AUGCCCGAGGGUGUAAAUGAGGCGAUCAUUCUUCUUAUUCCAAAGUCAGAUGAACCAACACGUGUUAAAGAUUUUCGGCCCAUCAGUCUUUGCAACGUAAUUUAUAAGAUUGUUGCAAAGUGUCUGGUUAAUCGCUUGAGCCCUAUACUGGAUGAGAUCAUAUCACCGUUUCAGAGCGCAUUUAUUCUAGGUCGUUUGAUUACGGAUAAUGCACUGUUGGCCUUUGAGUGUGUUCAUGCAAUACAUCAAGAGAAGAAACCGGAUGCUAGUUUCUGUGCAUACAAGUUGGACCUUUCCAAAGCUUACGACAGGGUUGAUUGGGGAUUCUUGGAGCGAGUGAUGAAUAAGUUGGGCUUUGCUCAUCGGUUGGUGCAAUAG
rnacentral:rRNA from 1 species